GUCUAUGGCCAUACCACCCUGAAUGUGCCCGAUCUCAUCUGAUCUUGGAAGCUAAGCAGGGCUGGGCCUGGUUAGUACUUGGAAGGGUCACAAAUACCAGCGAACAUGAUUCUUAGAAG
ensembl:rRNA 5S_rRNA 5S ribosomal RNA